rnacentral:lncRNA from 1 species
GAGAUUAUAGAAAGCUUUGAAAACCAGACAGGAAUUUGGACUCACCAUGGAUAAGAAAGAGCCUUAAUGGAUUAUUAAGCAAGAAAAUGACAGAUUGAUCUCCUUGGUAUUUCCAGUAUCUAAAUAGGAUGUGAUCUCCCAGCUGGAGCAAGGGGAUGAACCAAGGGUCCUGGAUACACAAGCAGCAGAGGGGAAAGACAUCCUAAGCCAUGACUAUUCAGGUGCCAAAGAAGAACUAAACCAUUUCUCAACUUCAACAUAUAUGUCAUCAUAUAAGACAAUCAUCUUGUGGUCCCUAGUACUAGAAUUCAAUAAAGUGGAGGUGCCAACCAAUUUCUUGCCUUCUCUUACUGUUCCAUGAAUAAAUCUUUUUGACAUAAAAAUUGGCCAAGGAUUUUUUGAUAGAUACUGCCACCAAUCAUAUUUAUCAAUACCUAGAAACAUUUUAAUUACCAGUUUGUUGUAUGCUG